UGAGUACGAGACGCUAAGGCGUCGAAGUAGUGGAUGUCAUACUUCCAAGAAAAGCUUGCACUGUCAUAAAUAAAAACGCCUGUACCAUAACCGACACAGGUGGGUAGGUAGAGUAUACUAAGGGGCGCGAGAUAACUCUCUCUAAGGAACUCGGCAAAAUAACUCCGUAACUUCGGGAGAAGGAGUGCCUUAUUCGUAAGGCUGCAAUAACAAGAUCCAAGCAACUGUUUAUCAAAAACACAGGUCUCCGCUAAGUCGUAAGACGAUGUAUGGGGGCUGACGCCUGCCCAGUGCCAGAAGGUUAAAGAAGUCGGUUAGCAUUAGCGAAGCUGGUAACUGAAGCCCUGGUGAACGGCGGCCGUAACAAUAACGGUCCUAAGGUAGCGAAAUUCCUUGUCGGGUAAGUUCCGACCCGCACGAAAGGCGUAAUGAUUUGGAUACUGUCUCGGAGAGGGGCUCGGUGAAAUAGACUUGUCUGUGAAGAUGCGGACUACCUGCACCAGGACAGAAAGACCCUAUGAAGCUUUACUGUAACUUGAAAUUGAAAUUGGACUUUAUUCGCGCAGUAUAGGUGGGAGGUGUUGAUUAUAAUCUUGCGGGAUUAUUGGAGCCAUCAGUGAGAUACCACCCUUGUAAUGUUAGAUUUCUAACUUUGAAUCAUUAUCUGGUCAAAGAACAGUUUCAGGCGGGCAGUUUGACUGGGGCGGUCGCCUCCUAAAUGGUAACGGAGGCGUACAAAGGUUUCCUCUGAACGGGUAGAAAUCGUAUCUAGAGUGUAAAGGCAUAAGGAAGCUUGACUGUGAGACCUACAAGUCGAGCAGGGACGAAAGUCGGUCUUAGUGAUCUGACGGUACUGAGUGGAAAGGCCGUCACUCAACGGAUAAAAGUUACUCUAAGGAUAACAGGCUGAUCUCCCCCAAGAGUUCACAUCGACGGGGAGGUUUGGCACCUCGAUGUCGGCUCAUCGCAUCCUGGGGCGGUGGUACGUCCCAAGGGUUGGGCUGUUCGCCCAUGAAAGCGGUACGCGAGCUGGGUUCAGAACGUCGUGAGACAGUUCGGUCCAUAUCCGGUGUAGGCGUUAGAAUAUUGAGAGGAGCCUUCUUUAGUACGAGAGGACCGAGAAGGACAUACCUCUGGUGUACCAGUUAUCGUGCCAACGGUAAACGCUGGGUAGCUAUGUAUGGAGUGGAUAACCGCUGAAAGCAUCUAAGAGGGAAGCCCUCCUCAAGAUAAGUAUUCUCAUC
rnacentral:rRNA from 1 species